rnacentral:rRNA from 1 species
GAUGAACGCUGGCGGCGUGCCUAAUACAUGCAAGUCGAACGGGGCCUUUGUAGCAAUACGGAGGUCUAGUGGCGAACGGGUGAGUAACACGUGGGUGACCUGCCCCGAAGUGAGGGAUAACGGUUCGAAAGGGCUGCUAAUACCUCAUGUGGAUGCGAGAGUUAGAGAGCUCGCAUCGAAAGCAGCAAUGCGCUUUGGGAGGGGCCUGCGUCCCAUCAGCUAGUUGGUAAGGUAACGGCCUACCAAGGCGACGACGGGUAGGGGGCCUGAGAGGGUGGCCCCCCA